rnacentral:rRNA from 1 species
UACGUAGGUGGCAAGCGUUGUCGGGAAUUAUUGGGCGUAAAGCGCGCGCAGGCGGUCCUUUAAGUCUGAUGUGAAAGCCCACGGCUCAACCGUGGAGGGUCAUUGGAAACUGGAGGACUUGAGUACAGAAGAGGAAAGCGGAAUUCCACGUGUAGCGGUGAAAUGCGUAGAGAUGUGGAGGAACUCCAGUGGCGAAGGCGGCUUUCUGGGCCUGUACUGACGCUGAGGAGCGAAAGCGUGGGGAGCGAACAGG